rnacentral:rRNA from 1 species
UCGGGAAUAUUGCCCAAUGGACGAAAGUCUGAGGCAGCAACGCCGCGUGCGCGAUGAAGGCCUUCGGGUCGUAAAGCGCUUUUCGGGAGGAUGAGGAAGGACAGUACUCCCGGAAUAAGGAACGGCUAACUACGUGCCAGCAGCCGCGGUAAAACGUAGGUUCCGAGCGUUAUCCGGAUUUACUGGGCGUAAAGCGUGUUCAGGCGGCUUCGCAAGUCGGGCAUGAAAUCUCUCGGCUCAACCGGGAGGGGCUGUCCGAUACUGCGGGGCUUGAGGGCAGUAGAGGGUGGUGGAAUUCCGGGUGUAGUGGUGAAAUGCGUAGAGAUCCGGAGGAACACCAGUGGCGAAAGCGGCCACCUGGACUGUACCUGACGCUCAAACACGAAAGCUAGGGGAGCGAACGGG